rnacentral:tRNA from 1 species
GCAGCCGUAGCUCAGUUGGUUAGAGCGCCUGACUGUGGAUCAGGAGGUCAAUGGUUCGAGUCCAUUCGGCUGUA